rnacentral:rRNA from 1 species
UACGGAGGGUGCAAGCGUUGUUCGGAAUUACUGGGCGUAAAGGGCUCGUAGGCGGCCAACUAAGUCGGACGUGAAAUCCCUCAGCUUAACUGGGGAACUGCGUCCGAUACUGGAUGGCUUGGAUUUGGGAGAGGGAUGCGGAAUUCCAGGUGUAGCGGUGAAAUGCGUAGAUAUCUGGAGGAACACCGGUGGCGAAGGCGGCAUCCUGGACCGGUAUUGACGCUGAGGCGCGAAAGCCAGGGGAGCAAAGCGGG